rnacentral:rRNA from 1 species
CCGCAUGGCUGGAUUGGGAAACACGGUGUAAGCUGUGGCUUGUGGAUGGGCCUGCGGCGCAUUAGCUAGUUGGUGGGGUAAAGGCUCACCAAGGCGACGAUGCGUAGCCGACCUGAGAGGGUGAACGGCCACACUGGGACUGAGACACGGCCCAGACUCCUACGGGAGGCAGCAGUAGGGAAUCUUCCACAAUGGGCGAAAGCCUGAUGGAGCAACGCCGCGUGAGUGAGGAAGGCUUUCGGGUCGUAAAGCUCUGUUGCCAGGGAAGAAUAAGGAUCAGUUAACUGCUGGUCUGAUGACGGUACCUGAGAAGAAAGCCCCGGCUAACUACGUGCCAGCAGCCGCGGUAAUACGUAGGGGGCAAGCGUUGUCCGGAAUUAUUGGGCGUAAAGCGCGCGCAGGCGGUUCUUUAAGUCUGGUGUCUAAGUGCGGGGCUCAACCCCGUGAUGCACUGGAAACUGGGGAACUUGAGUGCAGAAGAGGAGAGCGGAAUUCCACGUGUAGCGGUGAAAUGCGUAGAGAUGUGGAGGAACACCAGUGGCGAAGGCGGCUCUCUGGACUGUAACUGACGCUGAGGCGCGAAAGCGUGGGGAGCAAACAGGAUUAGAUACCCUGGUAGUCCACGCUGUAAACGAUGAGUGCUAGGUGUUGGGGGUAUCAUGCCCUCGGUGCCGAAGUUAACACAUUAAGCACUCCGCCUGGGGAGUACGGUCGCAAGACUGAAACUCAAAGG